CACUGUGCUCAGUUUCUGAUUAAUGUUAUUUGCUUCAAAUAUUUACAGACUUAAAUCCAACUCAGUUUAUAAAUGAGAGGAGAAAAAAAAAAAAGCUUGUUAUAUACAAUUGCUGUCUUUCAGCAUUGUUAACAGAAUUACUUUACAGUGCAGUAAUAAAGCCCAAAGAUGGCAUGAAAAGAUAGAAAACGUGUCAUAACCACGUGAGAAGUUAUACAUAUAUAUGGGCGCACUUAAGAGUGCGUGUUCUCCAAGAGAGUUUAAAAUAUUUAGAAAGAAAAUCAUUUACAUUUUCAGGAUCAGAUUUUCCCUUUUUCAAAACAAUAAAAGUGUGUGGUGGAGGAUGCAGAAACCACCAUAAAUUAUUAAAUUGGUUUUACACGUUAAAGAAGGAAAUAUAUAUGCUCAUUAAAUAAAAUACAAUAUUAGAAUGUCAAUUUAAAUGAAGUGUAAUUGAGAAUCCUGACUUUGUUUGCACACAAUUGCCAGAAACUUCUAAUCAGACCUUCACUUGGUAAUAUUAAGAGGUGUUUUACCUUUCAAUCACAGACCAGUAUGUAUGUGGUUGCUUACAUCUCAUGUUAUGUUCCAGCAGUCAGAUUUCAUCUCAUUCAAUUUUAGUUAAUUUUUUUAAAAAAUACUAUUUUAUUUAAUAUUUUAUGCAGACUUUUAUUUUGAAUGGAAAAGCGUAAAAUCCAGGGCAAGAAAUUAUUAAUGAAUAUUACGUUCUGACCUGUACAUGUGGUGUGAAACAGCUCUUUCUUCCUCCAAACACCCACAGGGAUCAAGACAAGAGCAUUUUGCAGUCAGGUCCAUUUCAGGGUGGACUGCAAACCACUCCCACCCCACAAGUCAGGGACUUCUCCUCCACCCCCUCACCUCCCCCUGCCCACAUCCAUGUCUUCCCCAUCCCUGCACAGCUCAGGCCUCCAGAAGGUUUGUUGAAUGAAGAAAUGACAGUCCUGCUCACCCAGGAGCUUCUGCACAGCCAUCAAACACUCAAAAACCAAAACGGUUUUUCUAACCUCCUUCCCACCUCCUGACUUCCCAAAACAAAACAAAACCAGCAAACAAACAGAAAGGUUUAAUCUGGAUUUAUGAGACCUCGUACAAGGGCGACAGCUUGAGUUGAUGUUUCAGCAGCGGCUGACAAGGCUACAUUAGGGCCAGAGAAGGGUUUUGUCUCAGCAUCUGUUGUCAGAGGCUGCCGAAGCCAUCCUGAUCCCUGAAUGCAGUCGCUUGCCUUCCACCUCCUGGCCUUUGACAGUCCUUUGAAUUCAGACUACGUUCAUUGGAGCCGAUUUUUUUCAAACCAAAUAAAUAAAUUUCUAAAUUAGCGUUAAGAAAAAUGAAGGCAUUUGUUUCCUGCUAAGAUCUUUAAUAAUCUUCCUUGUCUCUCUCUGUAUGACUUUUUUUUUUUUAAACUAGGAGAUUGUAUUUAUCAUCCUGUUUCUUGACCAAAGGAUUGUUUAAUUUAAUUGUGUUCAUUUAAUUGUGUUAUAAAUUCAGGAACAUUAGAAGAAUGGGAAAAAGAAUUUUGUAAAUCCAGUGCCAACAGGUUUAAUCUUUCAGUGUGGUAUUUCAGCGAACAGACUGUUUAUUUUUCCUGUGGGUAAACAACAACAGAAAGGUGCCUUUGAGUGCUUUUAUCCCCCAGCAAAGUGAAGUAUUUUCAGAACGCGUAAUGUAUGAAGCAGAGGGGAGAAAAUGCACAGUGUUUCUGUAUAGGGGUAUCUCCCAAACAAGCAUGACUUUCAGUAUGAUACAUUCACAUGUGUGUGAAGAAGAAGGGGCACACAGCACCCAGAAAGAAAAUACAGUGAUGGAGGUGUGCCAGCCUCUCCUUUUGUGAGUGAAUGCAUCAGAUUUUCAUUCUAGAGUGAAAAUGAAUCCGUCAUUGCCAGCUUCCCCCUACCACCAUUCUCCAUUAAUCCCUGAAUAGUUUGUUUGUUUGUUUUCCUCUAAAGUUAAUGGUAUUACAUGUGGGUACUUCGGGUCCUAGAAAAAUCCAGAGUGCAGGGGUCCCAAAGAAAAAUUGAAAUCCUGCUUUUGUUUUCUCUCACGAGAUGGGGUGGGGUCUUUUCAGGUCCAGCUGCAGUGGUGAGGAAUGAGGGACACGGUUCCCUGGAAAGCAGUGCUCAGAUCCAGAGUGUCCACAGCCAGGAGCCCACUGCCCGAUGAUCCCACCGCCACCACUAUACAUAUUUACACAUUUUCCACUCAUAUGUAUACAUUUCAGAUUGAUCAGUUGAAGUCAUGAGUCUGGGGUUUUCAAAACCUAAGGAUUUUAAGGAAUCUCUUCUUUCUACACAGUGGACUAGAAUGAAAUCAGGGUUUAGCUUGAUCUGGUUUGGGGAUGUACCACUCUUCUCUGGCAUCUCUAGAAGGUUUUCUUCAACAAGUUACGUACCCCUAUCUUUCUGAUACUCCCGAAGUAGGCAGCAAUGUCUUUAUAAGAUUCCUCUCCUCUCCCGUCUCCUUCCUUCCGCCUUUUCCUUUCGUCUUUUUCUCUUUUCCUUCCUCCCUCCCUUCCUCUCCUAUCAGUCUACCUAUGAUUUUCCUGUUACGCAGCCUUCCAAUGGCUGAGGGUAAAAUCCACAAUCUGAAUCUUUUUUGUUUUUGUUUUUUUUAAAGUUUUCAUUUAAAACUGUUCAUGUGGGUGCUUCCAGUUGAGGCUGCUUAUAGUCUCUCUUUAAAUCAGGAUAUUCGAAAGGAAAACUCCUUUGCAUUGUUGGCAGCACAUUCACUUUCCCUUGUGCUCCUCCUAGGGAUUGUAAUGAAGGGCUUAAAAUUGAUCCUUUUAUUUUUUGAGAUGGAGGAAGUGUCACAUAUUCGAAUUUAUCUUGAUCAUGUGUUUUCCACAGGCGGGGAUUAAACACUGCAAGCGGUACACGCACAUUCUGUAGGUGGUUAUGAGGAAUCAAUUGGUUGUAUGAUGCAGAAAUCAAAUGAUGGCGGGAUGAUGACGAUGGGCCAGUCAUGUGUCCUAACCUGUCUUCUCACUUCUGAGAAGGCUUGAAGUCAGAGAUUUUUACAGGAGCCAUUCCAAAUGUCUGUGUUUCUACCAGAAUGAACAUUGCAGCUUGUGCACAUCCAGCCUGGAAACACAGAGGUGUCUGUGCCAAUUUAGAGGAGAGAAACCUCAGGUUGAUAUGAAGUUUAAGGGUAAUAGGAAGUAAGGUGGUUAUUGCUGCAAUUUAUGAAAUUGGGGCCUCUGCAAAUGCUAAGGAGAAAAUAAAUGGAAGAUGGAACCAAAGGGAUAAGAAAAAUACUAACAAUAAAUCCAGUUAUAUGUAUAAUCAGUCAGUAGUUUUCAUCGCUGAACUCUCUGUUUUGUACACUUAAAGUUGUUUCAUUUUGUUGACAAAAUAUCUUUGAAUGCUUAUUAAAUCUGGAACCCAAAGCCAUAAAGAAAGAACCCUGUUUAUGGACCCAAAGCUGACAAACACACAGUAUCACAUCUUUUUUUUUUUUUUUUUUUUUUGUCUUUUUAGGGCCAUACCCACAGUAUAUGAAGGUUCUCAGUCUAGGGGUCCAGGUGGAGCUGUUAAGGAUCCAGCGUUGCCAGGGGCUGUGGUGUAGGUCACAGAGGCAACUCGGAUCCCACAUUACUGUGGCUGUGGCAUAAGUCAAUGGCUGCAGCUCUGAUUCGACCCCUAAACUGGGAUUCCCCAUAUGUUGACAGUGUGGCCCUAAGAAGACAUUUAGGAAAAAAAAAUGUUGCCACCUGCUUUGGACUGUUAACAUUAACAAAUAUUUAGCGUGGGAGAAAUGUUUUCAGUGUCAUCAAAAUGAAAAGCAGCAUCACUGUUUUCCUCCUUUCAGUAAUUUCUGAAACUGAAUUCGUGGUGUCACCUGCCCAUCUUUGUAAUGCUCCUUCAGAGCAGAGAGAGUCAGCUGAAUUAAAUUCUACACACAAGGAGUUACUGCCUACUGUGUACAAAUAUUAUAAGGCCAAGCACAAUUUAAACUUUGCUGUGCACCCCGGAAAGCUGGGGGAGCUUGGUGAAGACUUCUCUUUUAGAUUCAGUUGGGACAUGGAGCCAGCUUCAAGAACAAAAUGACAGGAAACUAGAGGGACUAUAGGUAGGAUUCAUGGACGAAAAAUUCUCUUAAGGCUUAAAGCCAAUUUGCUCACAUUUUGCCCAUCUCUGUCCCUCAGUGGGGGUGAUUGUGGUGGGUGGGGAUUGCAGUGCUGUUUCCCCACGGUCCUCAUUAUGGAGUGUACCCUCCUCUCAUUCUGUAGGUCAGAAUAUGGAGCAUACGUUGUAAUCACUGGUGGCCAUUCUUCAUCGAGAGGACCAAUGCCAGAUUUUUCUUGAUGGAUCUUAGUCGUAAGUUUCCCAAGAGCAGGGUUCACCAUGAUUAUACUUUGCAUUGGUUAGAAAGUUUUAAUUGAUAUAAUUCCUCACAUUUAUGUCCUCAUUGGAUCUUUGAAAACAGUGUGAUAAUCAAAGAUACCUCCUAUUUCCUCCUUUUUAUAGAAGAAAAAAAUGACUUACAUUAAAAUCACAUGGAAAGAACUGGAACUGAGGCUCCCUUGCUCUUAGCUACCGGCUCUGCCUGCUGUCCUAGCCAGGGGUCCACAAACUGAGGCCCAAGGUCCAAGACCAGCCUGUUUUUUUGUUUGUUUGUUUGUUUUUUUAAUGGCCCUAAGGGAGUAUGAUUUCUACAUUUGCCUUAUAUUUUAAAUGGUUUUAUAAGUACUUCCAUAAUAGCCUACUUUUUACCUCGUGGCCUUAAAAUAUUUGCUCUCUGGCUCUUUAAGAAAAUGUUUGCUGAGCACUGCAUCAUCUCCAGCCCACAUCCCCUAAUUCUGCUUCCUAGACCAUCCCAUUCUUCAUAUCCUAUCAAACCACCCUCUCCACAAUUAGGUUGUAGACUCUGUAAGCAGAUCCAACUCUUUUUCCUUAGCUAUUUGGCACAUCAGGUAUGGGGCUGCACAUGUGUAGGAAUUUGGCUAAUACUAUUUGACCAUUUAAUUCACCCAGACAAACCCAAGUAUGCCAGUUAUGCCUGGAAUCUGCCUCAAUUUGGGGUCAAGGUUAGAAACAGGGCUGCAGUGAAAAUGGAAAAGAUCUAGCUGCUUUAACCUUAGAGCCUGAUUUCCAGUGUGAAAUUGGUUUCAGUCAAACCUAGGGACCCCCGUGAUGGAGUUUUUGUUUUUGUUUUUUUUUCCCCUCAUUAGUAUACCCUAAAAUAAAGGGAAAAAUGGGAUUAGCAUUUAAUUCCCUACACCCCCCAUCACCAUGAAGAGGUGAUUCAAUGAGCUCCUAUUUAGCUCUUUUGUAGCUAUGACUGCUUUUAAAUAAAGACAACAGAAAGGACAGUGUUGGCUAAUGAAACAUGGGUUCUGGAGUUCUGUUGUGAUGCCAUGGAAACAAAUCUGACUAGUAACCACAAGGUUGCGGGUUCGAUCCCGGGCCUUGCUCAGUGGGUUAAGGAUCCCGUGUUGCCGUGAGCUGUGGUGUAGGUCCUAGACGCAGCUUAGAUCCUGUGUUGCUGUGGCUGUGGUGUAGGCCGGCAGCUGUAGCUCCGAUUCACCCUCUAGCCUGGGAGCCUCCCUAUGUCAAGAGUGCGGCCCGAAAAA
rnacentral:lncRNA from 9 species